rnacentral:tRNA from 1 species
GGAGCGGUAUCGAAGAGGUCAUAACGGGGCUGACUCGAAAUCAGUUUGGCGUUUAUUCGCCACGUGGGUUCGAAUCCCACCCGCUCCG